rnacentral:misc_RNA from 1 species
AACGCACCUUGCACCCUCUGGUAUUCCGGAGGGUAUGCCUGUCUGAGUGUCACGUCAAUCAUCGUCCCCCUGGGUUCUGCCCGGGGGGGUCGGACUUGGGUGUUGCCCUUCCGAGGGCUCGCCUCAAAUGUGUCGGUGGUCUCUGUGCGGGCCGUGGUCUUGCGUGAUAUGUAUCGCCUGGCCGUGGUCCGACUGACCUCCUUGAAACCGCCCUUGCGCAAGCUUGGGAUCACUUGUGAUAGACCUCAGAUCAGGUAGGACUACCCGCUGAACUUAA